AAUGAAUUGACGGGGGCCCGCACAAGCGGUGGAGCAUGUGGUUUAAUUCGAUGCAACGCGAAGAACCUUACCUACUCUUGACAUCCAGAGAACUUAGCAGAGAUGCUUUGGUGCCUUCGGGAACUCUGAGACAGGUGCUGCAUGGCUGUCGUCAGCUCGUGUUGUGAAAUGUUGGGUUAAGUCCCGCAACGAGCGCAACCCUUAUCCUUUGUUGCCAGCGGUCCGGCCGGGAACUCAAAGGAGACUGCCAGUGAUAAACUGGAGGAAGGUGGGGAUGACGUCAAGUCAUCAUGGCCCUUACGAGUAGGGCUACACACGUGCUACAAUGGCGCAUACAAAGAGAAGCGACCUCGCGAGAGCAAGCGGACCUCAUAAAGUGCGUCGUAGUCCGGAUUGGAGUCUGCAACUCGACUCCAUGAAGUCGGAAUCGCUAGUAAUCGUGGAUCAGAAUGCCACGGUGAAUACGUUCCCGGGCCUUGUACACACCGCCCGUCACACCAUGGGAGUGGGUUGCAAAAGAAGUAGGUAGCUUAACCUUCGGGAGGGCGCUUACCACUUUGUGAUUCAUGACUGGGGUGAAGUCGUAACAAGGUAACCGUAGGGGAACCUGCGGUUGGAUCACCUCCUUA
rnacentral:rRNA from 1 species